AGCACCGCCAGCUACCACGCAGACAUCCUGGGGAACUGAGCACUUCUUGAAGAGAUGUGAACAGAGGUCUACUCACCUAGAUAGUGUCCCAAGGGCAAACCAAAUAAGUCAUCCCACCUAAGUCCAGCUUGGAGAGCCAGUGACUUUAUAGAAGGGUGACCUACAGGACCACGGGUGACUCAGGACAGCUGUAUCGUCAAGCCACUCCACCAAGAAAGCUGCAUCCCUGGAUCUCACUGUGCAACAUGCAGGUAACCCCACUGCCCACCACCUACCAGAGGUAGUGGAAAAGAAAGGACAUGGGGGAAGUGGACCUGUUUUAGAAAUGGUUCUGUGGAGCAACUCCCAUCUGUGUUGUCAGGAAGGUCAGCAACAGCAGCUUGAUCCACUUGCACACACUUCACAGAUACCCCAGCAGUCCAGUUCAGGAUAGUUGGGAGAGCAAACAUGAAUCAGCAGUGGUGGCG
rnacentral:lncRNA from 1 species